CAUUCUUUCCCUAUACGAUGCUCUGAUUGUCAAAGUGAAGAAAUUCAAUGAAGCGCGGGUAAAUGGCGGGAGUAACUAUGACUCUCUUAAGGUAGCCAAAUGCCUUGUCAUCUAAUUAGUGACGUGCAUGAAUGGAUGAAGGAGAUUCCCACUGUCCCU